UAACCUGGCGGGUGCUUACACAUACAGUCGAACGGUGAAGCCUUCGGGGUGGAUCAGUGGCGAACGGGUGAGUAACACGCGGGCAAUCUGCCCUGCACUCUGGGACAAGCCCUGGAAACGGGGUCUAAUACCGGAUAUACCGCCUCGGGCAUCUGGGGUGGUGGAAAGCUCCGGCGGUGCAGGAUGAGCCCGCGGCCUAUCAGCUUGUUGGUGGGGUGAUGGCCUACCAAGGCGACGACGGGUAGCCGGCCUGAGAGGGCGACCGGCCACACUGGGACUGAGACACGGCCCAGACUCCUACGUGGAGGCAGCAGUGGGGAAUAUUGCACAAUGGGCGCAAGCCUGAUGCAGCGAAGCCGCGUGAAGGAUUACGGGCUUCGGGUUGGAAACCCUCUUUCAGGCAGGGAAAGAAGCCGCAAGUUAACGGGUUCCCUUGAGAAAAAAAGCCACCG
rnacentral:rRNA from 1 species